rnacentral:rRNA from 1 species
GGUGAACGCUGGCGGCGUGCCUAAUACAUGCAAGUCGAGCGAACGGACGAGAAGCUUGCUUCUCUGAUGUUAGCGGCGGACGGGUGAGUAACACGUGGAUAACCUACCUAUAAGACUGGGAUAACCUCGGGAAACCGGAGCUAACACCGGAUAAUAUUUUGAACCGCAUGGUUCAAAAGUGAAAGACGGUCUUGCUGUCACUUAUAGCUGGAUCCGCGCUGCAUUAGCUAGUUGGUAAGGUAACGGCUUACCAAGGCAACGAUGCAUAGCCGACCUGAGAGAGUGAUCGGCCACACUGGAACUGAGACACGGUCCAUACUCCUACGGGAGGCAGCAGUAGGGAAUCUGCCGCAAUGGGCGAGAGCCUGACGGAGCAACGCCGCGUGAGUGAUGAAGGUCUUCGGAUCGUAAAACUCUGUUAUUGGGGAAGAACAUAUGUGUAAGUAACUGUGCACAUCUUGACGGUACCUAAUCAGAAAGCCACGGCUAACUACGUG